GCCGCCUUAGCUCAGCUGGUAGAGCACUUGACUUGUAAUCAUGAGGUCUCCGGUUCGAUUCCGGGAGGCGGCUCUA
rnacentral:tRNA from 1 species